GAAAUGCGAUACGUAAUGUGAAUUGCUUUCCGUGAAUCAUCAAAUCUUUGAACGCACAUUGCACUCCCUUGGAGUAUGCCUGUUUGAGAAUCUAUAGUAUUAAUUCUACACCAGCUUUUGUUGGUAUAGAGAUAUGAUCAUCCUCUGAUUGGGGUUGAUUUAAAGCUAUAGCCUCUUUGUCAGCUAAAUACUGACUUGUCUAUGUGAUUAGGUUACGGCUAGAAAAGUAUGUGUAUCUAGGCAGCAAUGUCAAGUCACUAUGCCUAUUACAGCUUCUAUUUACUAGAUAACCUUCGGGGAAGGGGUUCGUACCUCUAAAGUGCUAGGCAACUAGUGCUUGAACCAUGGUCUCAAAUCAGGUAGGAAGACCCGCUGAACUUAA
rnacentral:misc_RNA from 1 species